UACGUAGGGGGCAAGCGUUGUCCGGAUUUAUUGGGCGUAAAGAGCGUGUAGGCGGCCAGAUAGGUCAGCUGUGAAAACUCGAGGCUCAACCUCGAGAUGUCGGCUGAAACCAUCUGGCUAGAGUCCGGAAGAGGAGAAUGGAAUUCCCGGUGUAGCGGUGAAAUGCGCAGAUAUCGGGAAGAACACCCGUGGCGAAGGCAGCUCGCUGGGACGGUACUGACGCUGAGACGCGAAAGCGUGGGGAGCAAACAGG
rnacentral:rRNA from 1 species